GCUAAAUGCAGUUUUAGCACUAUUCAUGUUCAACGUUUGACCAUUCGUCUUAUUUAAAAAAAAGAUUAUGAUUAAUAUUGUUAUUGUUAUUAGAUGAUAAAACAUAAAUAGUACUUGAUGUGUGGCUAAUUUUUUUAAUAUUUUUUAUAUUUUUUUUCAAAUAAGACGGAUGGUCAAAGUGCUAAAUACGAAUAUUUAUGGCUGCACUUAUU
rfam:Oryza sativa (indica cultivar-group) chromosome 1, whole genome shotgun sequence.